UGGGGAAUAUUGCACAAUGGGCGCAAGCCUGAUGCAGCCAUGCCGCGUGUAUGAAGAAGGCCUUCGGGUUGUAAAGUACUUUCAGCGGGGAGGAAGGGAGUAAAGUUAAUACCUUUGCUCAUUGACGUUACCCGCAGAAGAAGCACCGACUAACUCCGUGCCAGCAGCCGCGGUAAUACGGAGGGUGCAAGCGUUAAUCGGAAUUACUGGGCGUAAAGCGCACGCAGGCGGUUUGUUAAGUCAGAUGUGAAAUCCUCGGGCUCAACCUGGGAACUGCAUCUGAUACUGGCAAGCUUGAGUCUCGUAGAGGGGGGUAGAAUUCCAGGUGUAGCGGUGAAAUGCGUAGAGAUCUGGAGGAAUACCGGUGGCGAAGGCGGCCCCCUGGACGAAGACUGACGCUCAGGUGCGAAAGCGUGGGGAGCAAACAGG
rnacentral:rRNA from 1 species